GCGAUCGUGGUUUAGUGGUAAAAUGCCUCUUUGCCAUCGAGGCGGCCGGGUUCGAUUUCCGGCAGACGCA
rnacentral:tRNA from 1 species